GUUUGUCAGUAGUCCAAAGGUAAACGUCGUGACAGAUCGUGCCAAAGCGGCUGCUGGUAAUCCACUCUCCAGUUUGUCGAUGUUUCUGUGAUUCCCAUUAACCGAUGGGAGCUUCCCACAAAUUUCUGUGAUAGGGGAAGAAAGUUCAUAUGAUUGUAGAAGGUUUACAUUCCCACUUCCCCAGUGCGUUGCCAACAAGAAACAGUGCAAAAUGUUAGUUAAGUGCCAAGGAGUCGAGAUAUUGCUUUAAACAAAAAACAGCCGCAAUCAUUUAAGUUGUGCCGACUUGCAUUUAUAAGACAUUGUAAUCUUGUAAAAGGACAAUACUCGAAUAUUAUAGUUCCCCAACGGCCAGAAAAUGCCAUGUGUAUACAUAUCAUAAAGCUACAAGUAGUAAAUGCCAAAAAAUAAAGUUUAUUUCAUUUAGUAUUACACAAUAAAUGAACCACAAACUACAAUUUCAAAACAUCUAACGAAGGAAAACAUGUAAAAUUACUGUUUUCGAAUUGCACCACACCAGUCCAACAAACAGGUUGGUUAGCGAAGCCAUAGGAAUCACAAAAGUGAAAGCAAUUGGCUACAGGAUUUGAAUGAAAUCGAAAUAAUAUUGACAAACUGAUAUUGGGCGACCGCAAUCAAUCACGAAACGGUUCUGGCUAAGAGCCUCUUUCUGUGAAGUACAGUAUGGACAAUUUCGGGUUCCAAGACAAUCGCAGCUCUCCUCCAACUCUACCCCGGAUUCCUAGAAUACUGAGGACGACAAGCUGCAUAGAGAACGGUUCCACGAAGUUACCUCGAUUCGACAAAAGGUGCGUGACAGUUUAUUCAAACGUUAGGAAUUAACCUCUUAUUGUAUGACUAUAGUCAAGGACCAACGUAUACAGUGGAUGAAUACCCCACAAUGUUAUGAAAUAAUCCUUGUCAGCAAACAAAUCACAUUUGUGGACGGGUAUUUGUUUCGAAAUGACAAUAGAACGUUUCGAAAACAUAGAACAAAAUAACAUUACAAAGCGGUACUAAUAGCGGAAAUAAAUAAAUGUCCAUAAAUUUGAAGCUUUC